GGUUCUUCUUUUUUUUCCCUGUGGGAUUUCAAGAAGAUUCUAGCCCUGAUUUCUACUACCUCUCUUGUAAGAGAACUGCAGCUGGUUGUGGAAGAAUCUCAUACUGAUUGGGGUUAGGUCCUCUGAGUAAAAAGACAAGAUCAUGUAGAACCAAAAUCUCCCUGGAAAGAUCUUUCAAACUGACCAUAAAAAACAGUGUAUGUGAUGUUGUGCCUUUUAUUCUGUAGAGCAAGAUGUAGUUAUAAAUGUAUAAUAUCCCAAGUAGUGUAUAUUAUAGAAUAAAGUACAGUGUAUGCAUGUAAAAUAUAUUUAUUUCAAGGUGUUUUAAAUGAUAUCAAAGAGUAUCUUGGAUUUCUGGAAAUUUAUAAAUGGUGUCAUUUCACUAUACCAGCUGUAAGAUAAUAGAAUAAGAAAUUUAAGAAUAUUUUGAGGUUUUCGGGUGGUAAUGGGGACAUAUGUCUUUUAGAAAGAACGAGUUAUAUUUCUGUGUGAUCACUUUGGGAAAAUUUAGUUUCUUAAAGUUUUAAAGAUACAAAGCAGAAUAAACAUGUGGCUUUUUAGAGUUAGAAGUAAGAUUAAUUUAUCCCGAUUAUUUUGAAAGUCAGUUUUAGAAAGAUAAUUACAAUGCCAUAUUGAGUACUUUAUUUUUGAUCUAAGUGCCAGCCAUAUCUUUGACACCAGAUGGGAAUAUAGAGAUGGGCUCUCAGCCUGGUAAUUUAUAUUCAUAAAUACAUAGAAACAGUUUAUACUUGCUGUUUGUUUCUUGCCUAUGGCUGGAGAUCCUGGGGGAUUUUAUUCUCCAGCGGUUUUAGGAGAGAGACUAAUCAGGGGUUCUGACCUUUCCCACUUUCCUGGUGUCUCUCCUGAGCACCCGUUAUGGUACCUCAGGCCUAAACUGCUUUGAUAAAUGUCAGGUCCUGGGUUUGUCUAAGAAUGACACUUUUUGAGCAGCCAGGAAUUCUUGGAAAGGAAGCUUGUAUUUUAAAUAUUGACGAGGUCCAGGUGAUUGCUGAUGAAGAAAUAACAUGGGUAAAGACCUGGGAUGCAGGCAGUGGCCAGAGAGGCUUUCUGCACUUUCCUGUUAGAGCCACAGACGCUGCUCUGAUCCACGGAGUCACAUAGCAAGGGAAAUUGUUUAUCCCCAAAGGAUUAUGUAAUGCUAGCAGUUUUAGACGUGAAAGGGUUCAGGCAGGUAUGUACUUUGGAAAUAUUGCUUGAGGGAAUUCUUUGAUGGAAAGGACAGUUAGGUUUUUUGUUUUUGUUUUUUUUUUUUAAAUUCACUCUCAAAAACUGAGUAACAGUGAGAGUGCCCAACUGAUGUUUCCACUUUACCAGAGAGAAGCCCUCAUCCCUAGCCGUUAUGGUGAGUGUAUGUUAUGGAGAUUAGGACAUUCACUUUCUUAAUUUAAAAAAAUUUAACAUUGGAGUUCCCGUUGUGGCUCAGGAUCGAACCCACAACCUCAUGGUUCCCAGUCAGAUUUGUUUCUGCUAUGCCAUGGUGGGAACUCCUUGUUUUUCUUAUUAAUUCACAUGGCUUGGAUAACAUAUAGUCCACCCAGAAGCCCUCUAAAUAAUGACCAAGAAAAAUAUAGCUUAAAUAUAUAGAAUUCUGAAAGUUAGCCUAGGGAAGUGGUUUUCAUAGUUUGACAGGUCACUCCAUUUCUAGUUUUAAGGCAGGAAUUUUGAGAAUUGAGGCUGGCUAUUCAGAAAAAGGUAGGCCGCAUUCUCUGAUUUAACUUAGUUUGCCCUUCCAAAGGUGGUUCAAUUAUUUGGUUGGGGUGUUAUGGAUUAUAGAGCACUAGGCAUACCUCAGUUUUCAAAGUAAGUGCAAAAGAACGUGUCCUAGAGCUCAGUUGAAAACAAAGUUCAGGGAGUUUCCAUUGUGGCUCAGCAGUAACAAACCUGACUAGUAACCAUGAGGACAUGGGUUCGAUCCCUGGCUUUGCUUGUUGGGUUAAGGAUCUGAGGUUGCCAUGAGCUGUGGUGUAGGUGGCAGAUGUGGCUUGGAUCCCACAAUGCUGUGGCUGUAGUGUAGGCUGGUAGCUGCAGCUCCCAUUUGACCCCUAGCUAGGGAACUUACAUAUGCCAUGGUUCAGCCCUGAAAAAAAAAAGUUCAGUCUAUAGCUUUCCUCCCCAAAAUAUCAUGCAAAAUAAAAUUAUACAUAGUAUCUAGUGAGUAUCAAAGAGUGGGGGAAUGUAAAUGAACAAUUUCAGCUGCCUGGGGGUGGAAACAGUGAUUAGACUUGAGAUUUGGAACUCAGAUAUUCUUGGUUUGUACUCAGAGGAGAGAGGCAUCAGUUGAGUUGCACAACAGAACAGAAAAUAGCUUACUGAUAAUGUAGGGACUACCUUAGAAAGGAAUAAAUGUCAUCAACUUUAUCUUAUUUUACUAAUGUCAUCAAAAUAUAUGUUUACUCUAAUUGUUGAGUUAAAGAAAUGGCAUUUUAGAAACCAUCCAGCAUGAGGAGUUUAUACAAUUCUCAUGUACACAAUGGAAAUUUUUUACUUUGGGGAGCUUUUUGAAUCAUACUGAAAACCAAAGUAACCCAGUUCUUAACAGGUAACUCCAUUAGCUACCUCUUUCUCAGCUCCUCUAACAUGGGAAACGGAAGCUGCUUUGUGGUUCUUUUCACCCGUGCAGUUAUCAUUAAUCACCAUUCCAGAGAAAGAUGAGGUCUCAUAGGAUGAAAAUAUGAUAUUUCCUCAAGCAUUAGAUUAAAUUUCCCUUUGGCAGUAUUGAAUUUGAGUUGAAAGGCAUUUUACCUUCCUUUAUAAAAGAGGGUAGAAUUUACAGCUUUGAAUGUUUGGGUUAGCAUUAUACCUGUUUUUACUUUUUAGUUAUUGUAUGUCUCCUUUCAGAUACACUGUACUACGUGGUGCCUUAUACAGAGUGGGUACCCCGUAAAUGUUUGUCAAAUUAAUUGCAUCUGGGAGAUCAGAGAAGGUUGGUUCUAUGAAGGGUUUUUGUUAUCUUUUCCACUUCCUUCUAGAAUAAGGAUUUAAUUGAAAUAAUUUCAAAAAUAUUUUCUUUUCUUUAAAAUAUUUUAAAAUUAUGAUAAAAAUUAUGACAUUAAAUUUACCACCGGAACCAUUUUCAAGUGUACAAUUCAAUAGUGUUAAGUAUAUUCACAUUAUUAUGCAACACAUCUCUAGAAUUUUCAUCUUGGAAAACUGAAACUAUCUGUUAAAUAGUAAUUCCUGUUUCUGUCUACCUCCAUUCUUUUGUAAUCACAAUUCAACUUCCUGUUUCUAUGAAUGACUGCUUUGGAUAACUCAUAUAAGUGGAAUCAUUCCGAAUUUAUCUUUUUGUGAGUGGCUUGUUUCACCUAACUAAAUGUCCUCAAGAUUCAUCUCUGUUGUAGAAUGUGAUAAGAUUUCCUUCCUGUUUAAUGCUGAGUAAUAAUUCUGUUGUAUGUAUGUACCAUAUUUUGUUUAACCAUUCAUCUCUCAAUGGUAUUUGGGUUGCUUCUUCCAUCCUUUGGCUAUUGUGAUAAUGCUAUUAUAUAUACGGGUGUGUAAAUAUGUCUUUGAGAUUCUGCUUUCAAUUUUGGGGGGUAUACCUGGAAGUGAGAAUGCUGGAUCAUAUGGUAGUUUUAUUAAUUUUUUGAGAAACUGCCAUUCUAUUUUCCAUAGUGAUUGCAUCCUUUUUUACACCUGCCAGGAGUGCACAAGCGUUCCAGCUUCUUUACUUCCUCACUAACACUUUUUAUUUUCUGCUUUUUAAAGUAGUAGCCAUCCCAAUGGGUGUGAGGUGAUACCUCAUAUUUCAUUUGCAUUUCUCUAAUAAUCAGUGAUCUUGAAUAGCUUUCCAUAUACUUGCUGGCCAUCUGUAUAUCGCCUAUAGAGAAAUAUCUAUUCAAAUCUUAUACAUUUUAAAAUCAGGUUGUUUGUUGUUUUUGUUUAGUUUUAAUAUUUUAAUAGUUGUUUAUAUUCUAAAUAUUUACCCAUUAUCAGAUAAAUGAUUUGCAGAUAUUAUCUCCCAUAUCUCUAGUAAUGUUUCUGCAACUUUUUAUAUUGAUAUAGUUUCAAAUUUUACAGAAAAGUUGCAAGACUAGUGCAAGGAACUCCUGUAUAUCCUUUACUCAGAGUCAUUGUUUUCUAAGGAGCACCUGGGUUUCUUGACAUUCUGCUGAGCCCUCUAAACAGAAUACAUUACUUGUGGCUAUGGGAUAUAUAAAAAUAUAGGCAUGGUCCCUGUAUGAAUAUGGAAAACAAAUAGGAAUGUUUAUAAAGCAACAAGUACAGAUAAGAAUAAUGUGGAUAAGAACAAAAUAAGAGGGCGGCCAAAUGUAAGAAUAACUUUUAAGUUACUAGAACUGGAGCCAUGUCCUGGUGGUUCUCAACAUGGGAUGUUUAUGUCAUCUGGGGGACUUUUGGCACUGUUUGGAAACAUACAUAACUGCAGGGAGUGUUGGAGAAAGUUGGGUUAUUGGCAUAUACUGAGUAGAGACCAGAGAUGCUGCUUGAUGUCCUACAAUGUACAGAACAGCCCCAUACUGCAAAGAGUUAUCCAGAUCAAAGUGUUAAUCAUUUCAAAGCAGAGAAACCUUACGCUAUCCUUGGGAACCAGACUUUGCAGAAAACUUGUCUUGAAAACUUUGAAAGCUUUGGCCUCAGAAACUAACUUAAACAUAUCCAAGGCACUUGGUUAAAGAGUAGGUAUGAAAAAAAGUAUUUUCUUUUUUGUGUAUAACCCUUAAUAAGAGGGCUCAGAUGUUCAGCUUACUAUAAAUUUUCUGCGGAAAACAGCCUCAAAAUGCUUUUCUUGGUUUUAUUUUGUAUUGCAGUCACUUAGAGCUCACAUUUUCCUGUAUUGUGUUCUUUUUUCUUUGCCGUUCUCUGCUGUAGAAAAACUAUGUAAACUCUGAAAAAAAGCAAACAUUACAAGACGAAAGCUCUUGAAGCUUAGAGGAAGAAAGCAGUGGUGUUGUGGGGAAGGGGCCUUAGAUGGUUUCCUUUCCAUUCUUGCUCACUGCAGAGAAGCUAGGAUCAGCUCUGUUUCAUCACUUGCCAUAGGAGGCUGGGUGGAGAACAGAAAUAGCAUGGGCAUUGCCAUCCUGUAGAUCCAGCUUUGAUUCCAGGCCCAUCCAUACUAGCCCUCUGACAUUGGUCAAGUAAAUUAUACACACUGAACCCAGUAUUGUCUUCUCUGCCAGAGGGGGUAGUACUUGCUUCACUGAGAUGAGGGUAGUGGAGUGCACUGGUUAAGGCUGUGAACUCUCACGCAUAAUUGCCUGCCUUCAGAUCUUCACUCUGCUGCGUCUCAUUGUGUGUCCUUUUGCAAGUUCCUCAAUCUUUCUAGGCCUCAAUCUCUUCAUUUGAGAAAUGAGCAGAAAUAUGCUAAUAUUUCCCUCCCCGUGCUGUUAGGACAUUAAAUGAAUUAAUACACGUAAAAUACUUAAAAUUGUGCCUGGCAUGUAGUAGGCACUCAGUACCUGUCAACUAUUUAGAGGGUUAAUUUGAGGUGAAGGAUAUAAAGAAAGAACCUUAUGGUGUCUAACAAAUAAAAGAUGCUUGAUAACUGGUUUUUAAAUGUUUGAAUUUUAACAGCAGUUUAUUAUAAUAUAAUGUCAUUAUAACACAAUUUCAUUAGCUCCUGAAUUUAAAUGAGUGGGGAUUUGAUCUUGAAAGUUUCCAGGAUGAAAAAAGGAAACUGGUCAUCCUUUGCUUCCUACUUGUACCUGGCAAAGACUUGUUUGGAUCCUCGUUCAAACAGGUGCUUGAAGAAUUUCAGGCCUAGACAGACUUCUGUGGAGUUAUAAGAGACCAGAAUUCUGUGGAAUUAUAAGAGCCACCUGAAUGUAUGAAGUGGAGGGAGGUUUGGGUUGGAAACAGUUUUUUCCCUAGCCUAGCUUUCAUGAAGAUACCCUUGGUGGAGAGGGAGUGGAGAAAUAGCAGGAAAAAUUUUUUUCAAACUCCAUGUUCAUCCUUGGGGUGUGGAUGUGUAUCAAGGUGGAUGAAGAGGUCCUUUUCUUCUUGACAGUGUAAGGGAUUUAGACUCACGUAAAGGUUAUUUAUUCUGGAACCAAAUAUCAAGUUGUACGAGUUCCUGCCAAGUAUUGGGUUUUAGACAUGUUUUAGGUCACACAUGGUGCAGCCCUUUCUUGAAAUGCAAGAAUAUAUUAUCUCAUUGUAAGAUAAUUAUAUGUAAAGGGUUUGGCACAAGAUCUGGCAUUAUAGUGCUUUAUUAAGAGCUAGCUGAUGCUGUCAUUGUCUCAUCAUCAUCAUCAUUAUUCUUAAACUUUAUGUUUUAGUUUAAUUAUGAAGCUUCUAAAGUCUUUACUAUUCAUUCAGCAACUUGAUUUCCCUUUUAUUUAUUAUAUUUUUAUUUUUAACUUUGAUGAACAAACACAUUCAAAAAAGUGCACGUCAUAAUUCUAUAGCUUGAUGAAAUUUCAUAAACUGAACACAUUCGUGCAAUCAACACCUAAUUCAAAAAGCAGGGUAUUACCAGUGCCCACUCAUGCUCCCAUCUGGCCAUUAUCCUUUAGUUUUUAGCAAAAAAAAA
rnacentral:lncRNA from 1 species